AAAGGUACAUGUGAUGGAAGAUUAUGGAAGACAUUGAAAAAGUCGUGGACAAGAACUUUGUAUCGGUGCCCAUGCCAAGCGAUUUACAUUUAUCAUUUUAUUUAAUCUCUAAAUCAAAUUGAGGGGAUGAUCAGUCUCAUUGUUAAGUAGAAGAAACCAAGACUAAGGAAAUCUAAAUAACAAAUCUAUGAACACAUCUAUGACAUGAACAUCCUCUUUGUCUUGAAUGCUUCCUAAAAGCACCGGCCCAAACCAAGUGGCAGUAACAGUAAAGGAAACCUGGAAGGAAUGGGCACUUUCAGGGUUGUAUAGUUAGUACUUGGAGAAGCAGAGACUCAAAUCCAAACCUCUUACUCUUGACAAGUGGGAUGUACUACCUCAUCAUGGAAUCCUUGGCAAGUAUUGUUUUUAAAAUAUUUUGGGCUUUAAAAAAAAAUUGUCCAUCUUAACUGGCAGGCCAUAAAUAAAUGUUGACAUGGCAUUACUGUGUGUCUGUUCCACUCUACCAAUUUUUGGA